rnacentral:tRNA from 1 species
GGGCCCGUAGCUUAGCCAGGUCGGAACUGCUCGGCUGAUAACCGAGAGGUCCUGCGUUCAAAUCGCAGCGGGCCCA